AUUUAAUUGCGUUAGGGAUAGCAGUGAAAAGCCCACAGCCGUUUUUACGGUGAGGACUUGAAACAUAUAGCCCGACCUUUA
rnacentral:misc_RNA from 1 species